rnacentral:rRNA from 1 species
UAGAGUUUGAAUCUGGCUCAGGAUGAACGCUAGCGGCAGGCCUAACACAUGCAAGUCGAGGGGCAGCGGGGAAAAGCUUGCUUUUCCGCCGGCGACCGGCGCACGGGUGCGCAACGCGUAUAGAAUCUGCCCCUUACCGGGGAAUAGCCCAGGGAAACUUGGAUUAAUGCCCCAUGGUAUAUGUUGACGGCAUCGUUUUCAUAUUAAAGGUUACGGUAAGGGAUGACUAUGCGUCCCAUUAGUUAGUUGGUAAGGUAACGGCUUACCAAGGCAGCGAUGGGUAGGGGCCCUGAGAGGGGGAUCCCCCACACUGGUACUGAGACACGGACCAGACUCCUACGGGAGGCAGCAGUGAGGAAUAUUGGACAAUGGGCGAAAGCCUGAUCCAGCCAUGCCGCGUGCAGGAAGACGGCCCUAUGGGUUGUAAACUGCUUUUGUACGGGAAGAAACCCGCCCACGUGUGGGCGAUUGACGGUACCGUAAGAAUAAGGACCGGCUAACUCCGUGCCAGCAGCCGCGGUAAUACGGAGGGUCCGAGCGUUAUCCGGAAUUAUUGGGUUUAAAGGGUCCGUAGGCGGGCCGUUAAGUCAGGGGUGAAAUGCUGCGGCUCAACCGUAGCACUGCCUUUGAUACUGGCGGUCUUGAGUUAUGGUGAAGUUGCCGGAAUAUGUGGUGUAGCGGUGAAAUGCAUAGAGAUCACAUAGAACACCGAUUGCGAAGGCAGGUGACUAACCAUAUACUGACGCUGAUGGACGAAAGCGUGGGGAGCGAACGGGAUUAGAUACCCCGGUAGUCCACGCCGUAAACGAUGGAUACUAGCUGUCCGGUACCUUGAGUACUGGGCGGCCAAGCGAAAGUGAUAAGUAUCCCACCU